rnacentral:lncRNA from 1 species
CUCAGGGGUGCCAAGAAAAACAAACCAUGGGAGGGGGUGCAAGUCACACACCACACCCUCCACUCUACCUGUAAUGACCAACAGACAGGGGGAAUGCAGGACAGCCCAGUGUAAGUGUGAACUGUGGCAUGCUGUGGGUAAGGACCAGGGGUCAGCCACAGACAGGAAGUCAACGCAUAUGACUGGAAGACCAUGACCUAAACCACCACCUAUUGAAUACAUCAA